rnacentral:rRNA from 1 species
GAUGAACGCUGGCGGCGUGCCUAACACAUGCAAGUCGAACGAACCUAAUCUUCGGAAAGGGUUAGUGGCGUACGGGUGAGUAACACGUAGGUGACCUGCCCCAGAGUGGGGGAUAACUUCUCGAAAGAGAAGCUAAUACCGCAUAUGCUCAGCCAUUCGGUUGGUUGAGUAAAGCUCCGGCGCUCUGGGAGGGGCCUGCGUCCGAUUAGCUAGUUGGUGGGGUAAUGGCCUACCAAGGCGAUGAUCGGUAGCUGGUCUGAGAGGACGAUCAGCCACACUGGCACUGACACACGGGUGGCAG